UACGUAGGGCGCAAGCGUUGUCCGGAAUUAUUGGGCGUAAAGAGCUCGUAGGCGGCUUGUCACGUCGGGUGUGAAAGCCCGGGGCUUAACCCCGGGUCUGCAUUCGAUACGGGCUAGCUAGAGUGUGGUAGGGGAGAUCGGAAUUCCUGGUGUAGCGGUGAAAUGCGUAGAUAUCGAGAGGAACACCUGCGGCGAAGGCGGGUUGCUGGGCCGACACUGACGCUGAGGCGCGAAAGCCAGGGGAGCGAACGGG
rnacentral:rRNA from 1 species